rnacentral:rRNA from 1 species
CCUACGGGAGGCAGCAGUGAGGAAUAUUGGUCAAUGGUCGGGAGACUGAACCAGCCAAGCCGCGUGAGGGAGGAAGGUACAGAGUAUCGUAAACCUCUUUUGUCAGGGAACAAAGACUGGGACGCGUCCCCGGAUGAGUGUACCUGAAGAAAGAGCAUCGGCUAACUCCGUGCCAGCAGCCGCGGUAAUACGGAGGAUGCGAGCGUUAUCCGGAUUUAUUGGGUUAAAGGGGUGCGCAGGCGGUCUGUUAAGUCAGCGGUCAAAGCCCGGGGUUCAACCCCGGCCCGCCGUUGAAACUGGCAGUCUCGAGUUGGAGAGAAGUAGGCGGAAUGCGCGGUGUAGCGGGGAAAUGCAUAGAUAUCGCGCAGAACUCCGAUUGCGAAGGCAGCAUGCCGGAUCCACACUGACGCUGAGACACGAAAGCGUGGGUAUCGAACAGGAUUAGAUACCCCAGUAGUC